AGAAUUCUCUAGAGCUCUGGAACCAUCCUCGUCCCAGGACAGACAGCAAGGGCAUAUGCCGCUAACAAGCCUGGUUCCACAGCCCCUCACCAGGGUUCAGAGGGUCUCUGCAGUUUCUUACCUCUACUCUUGCUUCGUCUUCCCCAAGACAGGAACUGAAGAAGUCAAGAUGCUGUCGCUCAUGAAGUGCCAGUGCAGGGCAUUGGGGAGGCUUGUUUGAGAAAUACGUAGCAAAAGGAAGAAUGUGUAUUUGGGACCAGCAAGGAAACCUGGGAGGGUGGGGAUGAUCUUGUCCAGUGUCUAAAAAUUUUGAUAAGCUCAAAUGCGACCCAGGCAAUUCUUGUUCCUGAGGAGAAUUCUGUCCAGUGGGUGGUAUAUGGCAUAGAAAGAGUUCAGGCAGAUGGCCAGAUCGUGGUUCCAGGUAGUAUUUCUUCUGUUUACAAGACAAGGGUUUGUGAAACAGAUGAUAGGCUACAGCAUCUAGUCAUCAAGGAGAGAAAGUGGUUAUUGAGAGCUAGGCAGCAACAUGGUGACCUUGCAUACUUCCAAGGUACAGAACAGAGCUCUAGUCUAAGUAGAGAUCAAGAGGGCUUGUUAGGGAAACUGAGGCAUAAGCCCAGUCGUGAGAACUAGAAUGGUAUAGGGCAAGGAGAAAAGGGUGAUUGAUGCAUCAUAGUGGCUUCAAGCAUACCCAGAGCUCACCCCCGCAUGACAGAUCUCAUGCCAGACUUCAUGAGCUUGUACACUGGGAGCUCUAGUAGGAUUUCUGUUCUGGUUGGAACUGGCUUUAGGGAUAAAUGGGGCCGGGUCUGGGCCUGACCUGGUGGGAGUAGACAUAUCUUGGAGAGGCCAGAAAGAGGCAGAGGAAAGGAGCAACAAUCACAGAAUACCAGGUAGGUACAGCUGUGUAGGAGCAGCAGCAAGCAGGCUGAAGUCCAUCAGGCUAUUACCUAGGAGUCUGUCUUGGGAACCACUGCUGCUUGGACUACCACAGUCCUUAGACACUCUGUUUGAGGCUCCAGGCAGGAAUGCCAAUGGACACAGCACAGGAAUGCACAGGAAGCAGAAGCACUAGGAUUUAACUACCAUGCCCUGCACAGAUUCCUUAAUUCCUUCUUGGUGAUUCAGAGUAGAGUUUCCACUCUACAGGUCCUCUCCCGGUGGCCUCUUUCUCCAGCAAGAUAGUCAGAUGUCUCUCAUGGAUAAAAUCAAAAUCAUCAUCUAAGAGUGAAGUGGAAGAAGAAACUUCGGAGGUUUGAGAAGUGUGAACAGUCUAGUAUCUUUGGG
ensembl:lncRNA